rnacentral:rRNA from 1 species
UACGGAGGGGGCGAGCGUUAUUCGGAAUUAUUGGGCGUAAAGGGCGCGUAGGCGGCGCGAUAAGUCAAAGGUGAAAUCCCUCGGCUCAACUGAGGAACUGCCUUUGAGACUGUCGAGCUCGAGGCCGGGAGGGGGUAGCGGAAUUCCGAGUGUAGAGGUGAAAUUCGUAGAUAUUCGGAAGAACACCAGUGGCGAAGGCGGCUCACUGGCCCGUUACCGACGCUCAGGCGCGACAGCGUGGGGAGCAAACAGG